rnacentral:rRNA from 1 species
GGAUAACCGCUGAAAGCAUCUAAGCGGGAAGCCUGUUUUAAGAUGAGGUUUCUUUUGAGGUUCCCUGGAGAUGAUGGGGUUGAUAGGCCGGAUCUGUAAGCAUUGUGAGGUGUUGAGGUGACCGGUACUAAUUGGCCGAACUAAAACAACAA